rnacentral:rRNA from 1 species
UACGUAGGGAGCAAGCGUUGUCCGGAAUCAUUGGGCGUAAAGAGCGUGUAGGCGGCCUUUUAAGUCCUGCGUGAAAUCCUGCGGCUCAACCGCAGACGGUCGUGGAACUGGAAGGCUAGAGUGACGGGAGAGGAGAGUGGAAUUCCUGGUGUAGCGGUGGAAUGCGCAGAUAUCAGGAGGAACACCGAGUGGCGAAGGCAGAUCUCUGGCCGUGAACUGACGCUGAGGAGCGAAAGCAUGGGAGCGAACAGG